rnacentral:rRNA from 1 species
UCAAAAAGCUUUAAACUGGGAUUAGAUACCCCACUAUGCCUAGCCAUAAACCUAGAUAGUUACAUAACAAAACUAUUCGCCAGAGAACUACUAGCAACAGCUUAAAACUCAAAGGACUUGGCGGUGCUUUAUACCCCCUAGAGGAGCCUGUUCUAUAAUCGAUAAACCCCGCUUUACCUCACCACCCUUUGCCAACUCAGCCUGUAUACCGCCAUCUUCAGCAAACCCUAAAAAGGCGUAGCAGUAAGCUCAAUAAUCCUCAUAAAAACGUUAGGUCAAGGUGUAGCCUAUAGGGUGGGAAGCAAUGGGCUACAUUUUCUUUUAAAAGAACACUACGAAAACCUUUAUGAAAUCUAAAGGUUAAAGGCGGAUUUAGCAGUAAAUUAAGAAUAGAGAGCUUAAUGAACACGCAAUAAGAUGUC